GGGGUGUGCUCAGAGCAGGGGGCCUGAAGAAUGGCUCUUUUGUGUACAACACACCCAACAGGAAUCUGGGUUCCUUGUGACAAGAGGAACAGAACUUGUGUCCUUCCUAUGAACAGAUGCCCUACACAC
rnacentral:snoRNA from 1 species